rnacentral:rRNA from 1 species
CAGUAGUCACGAGUUUGAUCAUGGCNCAGAACGAACGCUGGCGGCAUGCCUAACACAUGCAAGUCGAACGAGACCUUCGGGUCUAGUGGCGCACGGGUGCGUAACACGUGGGAAUUUGCCUCGGGGUAUGGAAUAACUCAGGGAAACUUGAGCUAAUACCAUAUAAUGUCUUCGGACCAAAGAUUUAUCGCCCUGAGAUAAGCCCGCGUAGGAUUAGCUAGUUGGUGAGGUAAAGGCUCACCAAGGCGACGAUCCUUAGCUGGUCUGAGAGGAUGAUCAGCCACACUGGGACUGAGACACGGCCCAGACUCCUACGGGAGGCAGCAGUGGGGAAUAUUGGACAAUGGGCGAAAGCCUGAUCCAGCAAUGCCGCGUGAGUGAUGAAGGCCUUCGGGUUGUAAAGCUCUUUUACUCGGGACGAUAAUGACGGUACCGAGAGAAUAAGCCCCGGCUAACUCCGUG